rnacentral:misc_RNA from 1 species
CUCUCUCUCUCUCUCUCUUCUUUUAGCAUUAGUGGCUCGGCAUUUCGCAUGGAGAAGAAGAAAAGCGUCAAUUUACCAUGUAGAAGAUCAACUUAUCGUGAUAAUAGGAGAAUUUUCGGUGAAAAAGAUCAAAAACUUAAAUAAGCAUGUGUUUAAAGCAAACCCAAAAUAUUAAGAUGUCACAGAGAUGCAUCAACAUGCUUAUAGGCAUGGUCAUUAAAGGCAUGCCUUAGGUACAAGGCACAAGGGGCACGGGCCUAGCACCUAAAACCCUAAAAGGUAAGCAACCUUCAUGAGUAAUGAACCUCUGCAAUAUUCAAUUCUGAAUGCUGUCAUUUUAUGUUUUUGAUCUUGACAUCACAACCAUUGAUCUGCCUUUGCAAGUAACCAUAUUUUGAGAUCAUUCACACUCCAUCAAAUUAAAACAACAAAAAGAACGAAAGAAGCAGCAUUGCUUUAGAUUAGGCAUGACAACUGUUCUACAAAAGGAGGUGGAAAAAGUUUUAAGGUUUUCUAAAUCACUAAAUCAGGUUCAUUCUGUCCAAAAGCUGUUGGACUUAGAUGGUUCCUAUGUCAUAUCUAUAGCCACUCCAAAUGCCAGGCCAAAGGAAAAAGCAAAAACACCAUCUUCUAAUUUAUGGGUCAACACUCCUCUAGCAUCUAGAGACGAGAGAAAGAUACUGAUUUUGAAGAGGAACAUAAAGAGGAUAAUGAAAAAGAGAAAAUUGGAAGUCAUUAAUCUGAACUUGAUGAUGAUAUGAUGGAGAAGACAAUGUUGAAUUUGAUGAUGAGUAGCUGUCUUAUGGCUGUUUUAGGGAUUAUUGCCAUCUAGUGGAAUAUAAAAUUACGGUUUAAGACUUUUUAACACCUAUAGUUUAGUUUUAUUUUUAUCUGAAUUUCAAAAAUUUUGGUGCUAAAAUUCUAAAUAUUUCAUGUUAUUAUUAUGAAUAGUUGUCUUACAUAGCCCUAAGCAUCUUAUUUUAUUGUGUGCUUUACCUCUUUUAGGCUUGUGCUUGCGCCUAAGCUCCAGGACUCCUUUUGCACCUUAAUGCACCUUGUGCCUUCAAUAACUAUACUUACAAUUCUGUCCUACUGUUUGACCUAUAUUGUUUGUCAUCAAGAAUAAAGAAAGUUUUGCACCAAUUUUUGUAGAUUAAUGUAGAAUAACUAAGCCUAAUGGAUUAACAUGGAUACCACAGCACUGUGCACAUGCCCAAUGCAUGUGAAACUGAAAGACAAUUCUGUCAUAAAGAAUUUAUGGACAUCCCCAGUAUUUUAACUCAUAUGGAUACCAAUUAUUGACUCACACCGUCACAAAUGCUUAAAGCAGACAUGCACAUGCCUAGAGCAAAUGUGCAAAUGUAGGCCCAUGUCCUAUGCACUCUUGUACUUCUACAUCUAAAUGAAAUAAGAAAAGUAAGCACAUAUGCCAUUCAACAAUCAAAAUAAUGUCUACAGUGGUUAAUAAUCACCAGAUUUCCAUCUAUGGGAAUGAUAUAUUUUGAAGAAAUGAGACAAUAAGAAGUUGCAUCUAAAAAAUGCUUAAAAACAAUCAAAACUAAAGCCAAAGAAACCAAAAAUAUCAAUAUCAAACUAUAUAUAUUUGUUUGAACUAAUAAAAAUACACUUACCUCUUUCUUUCUUUGAGGUGGUG